GACGAACGCUGGCGGCGUGCUUAACACAUGCAAGUCGAACGGAAAGGCCCUGCUUUUGUGGGGUGCUCGAGUGGCGAACGUGUGAGUAACACGUGAGUAACCUGCCCUUUACUUUGGGAUAACUUCAGGAAACUGGGGCUAAUACCGGAUAGGAGCUCCUGCUGCAUGGUGGGGGUUGGAAAGUUUCGGCGGUUGGGGAUGGACUCGCGGCUUAUCAGCUUGUUGGUGGGGUAGUGGCUUACCAAGGCUUUGACGGGUAGCUGGCCUGAGAGGGUGACCGGCGACAUUGGGAAUGAGAGACGGCCCAGAAUCAUACGGGAGGCAGCAGUGGGGAAUAUGGCACAAUGGGCGGAAGCCUGAUGCAGCAACGCCGCGUGCGGGAUGACGGCCUUCGGGUUGUAAACCGAUUUCGCCUGUGACGAAGCGUGAGUGACGGUAAUGGGUAAAGAAGCACCGGCUAACUACGUG
rnacentral:rRNA from 1 species